UACGUAGGGGGGCAAGCGUUGUCCGGAUUUAUUGGGCGUAAAGAGCGUGUAGGCGGCCUGAAAGGUCAGCUGUGAAAACUCGAGGCUCAACCUCGAGACGUCGGUUGAAACCAUCUGGCUAGAGUCCGGAAGAGGAGAGUGGAAUUCCCGGGUGUAGCGGUGAAAUGCGCAGAUAUCGGGAAGAACACCCGUGGCGAAGGCGGCUCUCUGGGACGGUACUGGACGCUGAGACGCGAAAGCGUGGGGAGCGAACAGG
rnacentral:rRNA from 1 species